rnacentral:rRNA from 1 species
GACGAACGCUGGCGGCGUGCUUAACACAUGCAAGUCGAACGGAAAGGCCCUGCUUUUGUGGGGUGCUCGAGUGGCGAACGGGUGAGUAACACGUGAGUAACCUGCCCUUGACUUUGGGAUAACUUCAGGAAACUGGGGCUAAUACCGGAUAGGAGCUCCUGCUGCAUGGUGGGGGUUGGAAAGUUUCGGCGGUUGGGGAUGGACUCGCGGCUUAUCAGCUUGUUGGUGGGGUAGUGGCUUACCAAGGCUUUGACGGGUAGCCGGCAUGAGAGGGUGGCCGGCCACCUUGGGACUGAGAUACGGCCCAGACUCCUACGGGAGGCAGCAGUGGGGAAUAUUGCACAAUGGGGGGAAGCCUGAUGCAGCAACGCCGGGGGCGGGAUGACGGCCUUCGGGUUGUAAACCGCUUUCGCCUGUGACGAAGCGUGAGUGACGGUAAUGGGUAAAGAAGCACCGGCUAACUACGUG